UCAACACCUGCACGAUUCAGCAACAGUGAUCACCUAUGGAACAUCUCGGUGCCCUACUGGUGCAAGACAGCUGAACAAAGCAUUCAGCAUGCAUGCCGCAACACCUGAGCACAAGAAUGUGAUUUAAAGCCUAGUUUCAAAAAGGUGCCAGACUUUAAGGCAACAUGUUCAAAAGCUGGAGGGAUGUGUCUAUUCAGAACAGUAUGCCAAGGAUGAUGAAGGGACAUAUCAGGAAAGCUCAGAUAUUUGCACUUGCAAAGGCGGAAAAAUACAGCGCCACCAGCCCUCAAAGGAUCUCUGUCACGUGCUUACUUUAUUGCUCUACCUUUGUGCACAGUAAGUUGCCACUUAGCUUCAGUUGCUGUUCUUGACUGACAUUGUUAUUUGUCUUGUACAUUUCAGAACUGCUUUGUAGUUAGCCUGGGAAAUUGAGAGUACAUAUGUGGUUAAA